UACGGAGUUACAAAGGACGACAUUAGACGAAUCAUCUGGAAAGAUGAAUCAAAGAAGGUAAUAAUCCUGUAGUCGAAAAUGUUGUCUCUCUUGAGUGGAUCCUGAGUACGACGGAGCACGUGAAAUUCCGUCGGAAUCUGGGAGGACCAUCUCCUAAGGCUAAAUACUCUCUAGUGACCGAUAGUGAACCAGUACCGUGAGGGAAAGGUGAAAAGCACCCCGGAAGGGGAGUGAAAUAGAACCUGAAACCGUGUGCUUACAAGUAGUCAGAGCCCGUUAAUGGGUGAUGGCGUGCCUUUUGUAGAAUGAACCGGCGAGUUACGAUUUGAUGCAAGGUUAAGCAGUAAAUGUGGAGCCGUAGCGAAAGCGAGUCUGAAUAGGGCGUUUAGUAUUUGGUCGUAGACCCGAAACCAGGUGAUCUACCCUUGGUCAGGUUGAAGUUCAGGUAACACUGAAUGGAGGACCGAACCGACUUACGUUGAAAAGUGAGCGGAUGAACUGAGGGUAGCGGAGAAAUUCCAAUCGAACCUGGAGAUAGCUGGUUCUCUCCGAAAUAGCUUUAGGGCUAGCCUCAAGUGAUGAUUAUUGGAGGUAGAGCACUGUUUGGACGAGGGGCCCCUCUCGGGUUACCGAAUUCAGACAAACUCCGAAUGCCAAUUAAUUUAACUUGGGAGUCAGAACAUGGGUGAUAAGGUCCGUGUUCGAAAGGGAAACAGCCCAGACCACCAGCUAAGGUCCCAAAAUAUAUGUUAAGUGGAAAAGGAUGUGGCGUUGCCCAGACAACUAGGAUGUUGGCUUAGAAGCAGCCAUCAUUUAAAGAGUGCGUAAUAGCUCACUAGUCGAGUGACACUGCGCCGAAAAUGUACCGGGGCUAAACAUAUUACCGAAGCUGUGGAUUGUCCUUUGGACAAUGGUAGGAGAGCGUUCUAAGGGCGUUGAAGCAUGAUCGUAAGGACAUGUGGAGCGCUUAGAAGUGAGAAUGCCGGUGUGAGUAGCGAAAGACGGGUGAGAAUCCCGUCCACCGAUUGACUAAGGUUUCCAGAGGAAGGCUCGUCCGCUCUGGGUUAGUCGGGUCCUAAGCUGAGGCCGACAGGCGUAGGCGAUGGAUAACAGGUUGAUAUUCCUGUACCACCUAUAAUCGUUUUAAUCGAUGGGGGGACGCAGUAGGAUAGGCGAAGCGUGCGAUUGGAUUGCACGUCUAAGCAGUAAGGCUGAGUAUUAGGCAAAUCCGGUACUCGUUAAGGCUGAGCUGUGAUGGGGAGAAGACAUUGUGUCUUCGAGUCGUUGAUUUCACACUGCCGAGAAAAGCCUCUAGAUAGAAAAUAGGUGCCCGUACCGCAAACCGACACAGGUAGUCAAGAUGAGAAUUCUAAGGUGAGCGAGCGAACUCUCGUUAAGGAACUCGGCAAAAUGACCCCGUAACUUCGGGAGAAGGGGUGCUCUUUAGGGUUAACGCCCAGAAGAGCCGCAGUGAAUAGGCCCAAGCGACUGUUUAUCAAAAACACAGGUCUCUGCUAAACCGUAAGGUGAUGUAUAGGGGCUGACGCCUGCCCGGUGCUGGAAGGUUAAGAGGAGUGGUUAGCUUCUGCGAAGCUACGAAUCGAAGCCCCAGUAAACGGCGGCCGUAACUAUAACGGUCCUAAGGUAGCGAAAUUCCUUGUCGGGUAAGUUCCGACCCGCACGAAAGGCGUAACGAUUUGGGCAC
rnacentral:rRNA from 1 species